UAGAUUAUAUCUUAAUAAAAGUAUUUCAUUUACAUUGAAAAGAUAUUAAUUUUUAAUUAAUCUAA
rnacentral:tRNA from 2 species